GAGACACUAGUAAAACCUGCCAUUACAUUGCCUUGUCAAGGCAAACUUGUGGGUUGGAUCCCCACGUAUCUCC
rnacentral:tRNA from 1 species